GCUACAGAUAAUGCUACAAUGGAUAACAAUGAUUAUCACAUACACAUUAUUGCCAUACGUCAUCUGUUGCAUUUGAAGUUGUUGUCGCGUACACGUAUAUAACAGUGUCUAGUAGUGAUUACCCCUCAAUCAAUAUGGCGGAACUGACUGGAGUGUAUGAUUUUACGGUGAACGGGUUUCGGGUGACAGCUGAUAUGAAAAAGAACUUCGAUGAUAAAGGAUACAUU